rnacentral:rRNA from 1 species
CGACGUGAGGGAACCUGCCUUGGAGUGGGGAAUAACAGCUAGAAAUAGCUGCUAAUACCGCAUAAAGCAGUUGGGUCGCAUGACUCUGACUGCCAAAGAUUUAUCGCUCUGAGAUGGCCUCGCGUCUGAUUAGAUAGUUGGCGGGGUAACGGCCCACCAAGUCGACGAUCAGUAGCCGGACUGAGAGGUUGGCCGGCCACAUUGGGACUGAGACACGGCCCAGACUCCUACGGAAGGCAGCAG